rnacentral:tRNA from 1 species
GCCAGCGUAGCUCAACGGAUAGAGCAUGCGUCUGCUAAACGCAAGGUUGUAGGUUCAAAUCCUGCCGCUGGCG